AACGAACGCUGGCGGCAUGCCUAACACAUGCAAGUCGAACGAGACCUUCGGGUCUAGUGGCGCACGGGUGCGUAACGCGUGGGAAUCUGCCCCUUGGUUCGGAAUAACUUCGGGAAACUGAAGCUAAUACCGGAUAAUGACGUAAGUCCAAAGAUUUAUCGCCAAGGGAUGAGCCCGCGUAGGAUUAGCUAGUUGGUGGGGUAAAGGCUCACCAAGGCGACGAUCCUUAGCUGGUCUGAGAGGAUGAUCAGCCACACUGGGACUGAGACACGGCCCAGACUCCUACGGGAGGCAGCAGUGGGGAAUAUUGGACAAUGGGCGAAAGCCUGAUCCAGCAAUGCCGCGUGAGUGAUGAAGGCCUUAGGGUUGUAAAGCUCUUUCACCCACGACGAUGAUGACGGUAGUGGGAGAAGAAGCCCCGGCUAACUUCGUGCCAGCAGCCG
rnacentral:rRNA from 1 species